UUACAGCCAUAUCAUGUUGAAACAUUGGUUCUUGUAUGAUCACUGAAGUUAAGAAACAUCGAGCCUGAUCAGUAUCUAGAUGGGUAACCACUUGGGAAUACCAAGUGCU